GCCUCGGCAAUUAUUGAAUGGCCGACCAGCCGACGAUAAGGUUCACUCCUUUUAUCCUCGACUUCCUCAAUCGAGACCGAUAUCUUGACGCGCGUCCUGUGACCACGACCCGACACGUCGACCUUAUGCGUGUUUCACCGUGUGUACGUGUGCCUGUGCUUGUGUUUUCCAUUGUGCGUGUGCGUGUUCACAUCCCACGAGCUAAUUUCUUAUUCCCGUGCGGCACGGAUACGACGUGUCCGCGUCGAGAAUCGAGAGACGACAGCGAAGAAGAUGCAGCGCCGUGGAGGACGAGCAAGAUGGAGAGAAGCUGGUGGCGGCGAUGACGAUGGUGAUGGUGGUGGUGGUACAUGGUGAUGAUGAUGAUGAUGAUGAUGAUGAUGAUGAUGAUGAUGGUGAUGAUGAUGAUGAUGAGGAUGAGGAUGAGGAUGAGGAUGAUGAUGGAACGCAUUGUGGAACGCACACUAUGGUGAGACGAUGUUUUUAUUGGGAGAGGAUUUGGGAACGGAUGAGGGUAUUUUGUUAAUGGUUAAGGUGGUGGUAGUAGGUUCUACAAAAUUGAGUUCAAUCGUGACUCGCAGGAAGGAUCGAGGAUGUGAAGACAGUUGCUUCGUCGUACGCGAUUAAUAUGAAACACUGAAAACGAAAAGUGGAAGGAAAACCGGCGUUGAAAACGCGGCAAAAAAAGGUGUGGUGUGAAUGAAAGCGGC